CUUGCUUUCGGAGGGCAGUUGAGCUCCAGGCCCAGGUUUUUUCCCCUCUUCCACAGGGCCAUACGGACAAAAAGGAGGUCAUGUGCCUACCUGGAUGAGCUCGGGGGAGGCCUGCACCGUGGCCUUCCUAACUCAGAGACCCAGAGUGACCAUGGAGGAUGGUCUGAACAUAAAAGCUCCUGACUGACAGUGGUCACGGAGGCCGUCACAUCCUGAGCCUGCAGCGUCCCUGACAAAGGUUCUGGUCAAGUUGACCCGAAGGAAGAACUCGACACACCUACAAAAUAACUUCACAAUGCCCCUAGAUUGGUGUUUAAUUGAAUACCUGGGCGAUACAGGUGAGCCAAGACAACGUAAAACUUAACCACAGCUGGCCUCCCGAUAACUGUGUAGCUACUACCACAAUAAAGACACACAACAGUCCCAUCAUUCCAGAGAAUUCUGGAGAAGAGGCAUCCCUGCCUCUUCUUGGGGUCAGUCUUCCCUGCCGCCACCCACCCUCCCAACACUGUCAACUCCUGAUCUGUUUUCUGUCUCUACAGGUGUGGCUGUUCCAGGAUAUCAUUCAAACGCAAUCACACAAUGUGUGACCUUUAAAUCUGGCUUCAUUUGCUCAUGCGUAUGAAGCUUACGAGAUUCACCUAAGUUGUUUCUUUUUUUAUGGUUGAGAAUAUCCCCUUGUGUGGCAGUUCUGUUCAUGGAGGAGGGCGGGGACGGAAUCUGGAGCCGGAUAUGAGUGUCCUGUCAGUGCAGCACCAACGUGGACCCACUGCUGAUCUGCUGAGUCCUCCUCUCCCGGUCAACACAGAUCCAUUCCGCAGUUUCCAGGCGCCCCCAUCAGUGCUCAGCACUGGGGAUACAGGAACCAGCAAGACUGGCCUGGCCCUUAUUGUCAUGGAGCAGGUAUUCUGUUGGGGAAAUUGGUUCAGUCAAGUAACAGGGCAAAGAACUGAAAAAUCAUAAAUUGUGACCUGCCCAAAGAAGAAAACAAAUAAGAGGUGGAGGUUCAGAAUAUUCUAGAUAGGUGGCAAGAAGUCCUCUCUGGGACUUUUGAAAUGAGGCAGCCAGAGGAUGGGUUAGGGGAAGUCACCUGUGGAAAGAACAACACGUGCAGAGGCCCCACUUACACGUAUUGGGCCGCGUGAUGGGCUGUGGCGUGAUGGGCGUUACAGAGACGCAGGGGAGAGAGGGACCACACAGGGUCGGAGGUUGUGCAGGGUCACUAGCAGUUCACGGGUCGUGAUAAGGAGUUCGGGUGUCCUUCAGUGAAGGAGGAAGCCUUGCAAGGGUUCAGAACCCAGGGGUCACAUAAUCUGACGUAAUUUUUAAAAGGAUCAGUUUUGCUGCUUUGUGAUAGUGUUUGCAGUUGUGAGAGUCCAGAUGAGAAAGUGAUAAUGGAGAUAAGGAGACAGAGCUGCGGUGUUAGAGGCACAGACAGGCCCCAUUAAUGGGUUGAUUGGAGGGGCGGAGUAGACUAAUUUGCAGAUUUCUGGCUUGAACGAUGUGGUAAAAGGUUUUGACAUUUAAUUAAAUGCGAAAGGUCGGUUCCAUGACAGUCCCUGGAGCCCAAGAAAGCUGAGCCCCUAUUUCAGGAUUCAAAUGUAUUCAGUAACCACUAAUAUUUAAAGUUAUGGGGAUUGAUUAGAUUGACUCUGAAGAUGUGGAGGAAAAGCAGCACUUUCUUCAGGGAAAAAAGAAGCAGGAUCCCAAGCAGCCCGAGGCCAGAGAGGAGCAAGGAGGAGGCGGGACAGGAGCCCAGGAGCCCCUCGCAGGAACAAGAGUGGUGUUGGUGGGUUGAAUUCUGUGGAAGGAGCGAAGAAAAUUGGGAAAAGUAACUGGGCACCAGCUUUGGCAACAUGCAAAGAGUUGCUGGCCUUGAUAAGCUUUGAUGGAAGGGCAGUGGGUGGCAUUUCAGAGAGAAUGACAGGUAGGGAAGUGGGGAUGUUGUGUCUGCAGGCACCUUGACAGGAGCCACGGAUGUUCUCUGAGGGCAGAAGGAGCUCGGAGAAAGAAGACAGGGUUUGUCGAGAUGGCAGAUACCUAAGGAUAAUUACCUGUGGAAAGAAUAUUCCUUGCAGACAGAAAUGAUGGUGCAGGAGGAGGCAGAGGGGACCUGGAACGUGGGCCUUCUGUCCACUGGGACAGGAGGAAGGAUGGAGAAAGUAGAGGCAGGUGCAUUUGGUGCAGCCCUGGUAAGAGGAGCUAAG